AUUAACUUUGCAGUGCUAUGGACUUCUCAGCACAGUUGGUCCACCACUAUCCCAAACUCAGGGAUGGGGGUGGUUAUGAACUGCUUCAUAUCAUUGGUUCAACCAGAGACAAGGUAUGGGGGAGUUCUGCUGAUGAAAAUGAUGGACCAAUAGUUGAGUGCAUGUAUUGCCACAACAGUUUUAAACAUUCCAAUAUGCAGGAUCACAUAGACAUCUUUACAAGACAUUUUGGCAACACAGAAACUCCCACAGUACAAGCUGAGGCUGACGACCAUGGAAAGAUGGACACCAGAACAGAAAGACAGGCAACACCAGAGUGCAGUGGUCAUAGACCCACACAAAAUGAGACUGACAUGUACAGGCAGAUGCAGAUUGAGAGCAGCCAACACACUAAGAGACAGACUGAUAGAUGGCCAGAAACCGACAGUGACCACCACAGACUCCAAAGGCAAUCGAGACAGAGAGAAGAACAGCCAUCAACCAGCAGUAACAAUGGUUCAGUCAACAUCUUUCAAUCUCCUGAAAAAAGUCAUAAUGCCGAAUGCUAA
rnacentral:lncRNA from 1 species